GUUUUGCAUAGCCUCUUCCGCAGGCAUCUCAUAAUCGUCGAGAACUUAUAUAAUUUAGUUAUUCAAAUAACUGAUGUUUUUCUGAUUGGGUUGAAUAACUAAAUUAUAUAGGUUCUCGACGAUUAAGAGAUGCCUGCGGAGGAGGCUAUGUUUUGCAAAC